rnacentral:rRNA from 1 species
AGCAGCCGCGGUAAUUCCAGCUCCAAUAGCGUAUAUUAAAGUUGUUGCAGUUAAAAAGCUCGUAGUUGAACUUCAGGCCUGUCCAGAUGGUCCGCCUUAAUUGGUGUGUACUGUCCUUGGGUGGGUCCUACCUUCUGGCGAAGCGGCAUGGCCUUAGUUGGUUGUGUUGGGGAACCAGGACUUUUACUGUGAAAAAUUAGAGUGUUCAAAGCAGGCAUAUAUGCUCGAAUACAUUAGCAUGGAAUAAUGGAAUAGGACGAUGGUUCUAUUUUGUUGGUUCUAGGACCGUUGUAAUGAUUAAUAGGGAUAGUUGGGGGCAUUAGUAUUCAAUUGUCAGAGGUGAAAUUCUUGGAUUUAUUGAAGACUAACUACUGCGAAAGCAAUUUGCCAAGGAUGUUUUCAUUAAUCAAGAACGAAAGUUAGGGGAUCGAAGACGAUCAGAUACCGUCGUAGUCUUAACCAUAAACUAUGCCGACUAGGAAUCGGGCGAUGUUGACAAAAUGACUCGCUCG